rnacentral:rRNA from 1 species
CCUACGGGAGGCAGCAGUGGGGAAUAUUGCACAAUGGGGGGAACCCUGAUGCAGCAACGCCGCGUGAGGGAAGAAGUCUCUCUGUAUGUAAAGCCCUGUCAGCAGGGAAGAAAGAGACGGUACCUGACCAAGAAGCCCCGGCUACCUACGUGCCAGCAGCCGCGGUAAUACGUAGGGGGCAAGCGUUAUCCGGCGUUACUGGGUGUAAAGGGAGCGUAGACGGCACUGCAGGUCUGGAGUGAAAGCCCGGGGCCCAACCACGGGACUGCCCUGGAAACUGGGGGGCUGGAGUGCGGGAGGGGUAGGCGGAAUUCGUAGUGUAGCGGUGAAAUGCGUAGAUAUUAGGAGGAACACCGGUGGCGAAGGCGGCUUACUGGACUGUAACUGACGUUGAGGCGCGAAGGCGUGGGGAGCAAACAGGAUUAGAUACCCUGGUAGUC